rnacentral:rRNA from 1 species
GGCGUGACUCCAAUUGAACCGCAGCUUCACCCCUUGUGGUGCUCCCCCGCCAAUUCCUUUAAGUUCAUACUUGCGUACGUACUUCCCAGGCGGCAGACUUAACGGCUUCCCUGCGGCACUGCAUUGGCCACAAGCCAAUGCAUCACCGAGUCUGCAUCGUUUACAGCUGGGACUACCCGGGUAUCUAAUCCGGUUUGCUCCCCCAGCUUUCAUCCCUCACCGUCGAACGUGUUCUGGUACACCGCCUUCGCCACAGGUGGUCUUCAAUAGAUCAAAGGAUUUUACCCCUUCCUAUCGAGUACCGUGUACCUCUCCCACUCCCUAGCUGCACAGUAUUUUCGGCGGCCUAUACGUUAAGCGCAUAGAUUUAACCGAAAACUUAUGCAACCGGCUACGGAUGCUUUAGGCCCAAUAAACCUCCUGACCACUCGAGGUGCUGGUUUUACCGCGGUGGCUGACACCAGAACUUGCCCACCCCUUAUUCACCAGUGAUUCUACAACUGACAAAAGACUCCUUUAGCAGGAGACACUCGGAUUAACCUUGUCGUGCUUUCGCACAUUGCAAAGGUUUCUCGCCUGCUGCGCCCCAUAGGGCCUGGGUCCGUGUCUCAGUACCAUCUCCGGGCCCUCCUCUC